CUUUCCCCUUUGUUGUUUAUCUUUCAUGGCCUGUCAAGGACACAUCCCUACAUAGGAUGCUCAGAAUUGGCUGGCAGUGGUGGGAUCUGAAGCAACUAUCUAUUGGCAUUUAGGAACAAUGAGAAACACAGCCAGAAGAACCUUGAAGGGCGGAGGACAUUCAUCCUUCCUGACAGUUGGCAUAAAGAGCAGGAUGCUUUAAACUCACUGGAUACCACUCUCCCCCAGCAUUGCUGCAGCAGAGAGAUCCUUGGGAAAUCUGACAUAUAGCCAGCAGAAGACUGAAGGAAACUUUUCUUAAGCUAACUGAUUUACAGCAAUUUGGAACAUUCAUCUCCAGCAUCCAGAAACCCAUCGAGUAUUCUAAGAGUCCAUUCUC